rnacentral:RNase_P_RNA from 2 species
GGGGCCGGGGAGCCCGCUUCGCCCCGUGAGGGGUGAGGAAACACCGUCCACCGGGCGACACCGCGGCUCCGCAAGGAGCACGGGUAGAACCCGUGGCUACGGCACAGAAACGACACGGCCACCGCUCUCAUGGCGAUGGGGCCGCGUGAGGCCCCCGGCGACGGGGGUCUGGUAACCGGCCGAGGACGGCGGUGGAUGCGUUGAAACGGCCGUCCCGCGGGGUGUAAGGCCUGGGGCCGGUGUGACCUGUCGCCGGACCGGUACAGGCCGCUUAGUCCAAUGCGGGCGAGAGACAGAAGACGGGUUAAUCCCCGGCCCC